UCAGUAACACGUAGUCAACAUGCCCAGGGGACGUGGAUAACCUCGGGAAACUGAGGAUAAACCGCGAUAGGUCACUACUUCUGGAAUGGGUAAUGACCCAAACCUAUAUGGCCCCUGGAUUGGACUGCGGCCGAUCAGGCUGUUGGUGAGGUAAUGGCCCACCAAACCUGUAACCGGUACGGGCUCUGAGAAGGAGGAGGGCCCGGAGAUUGGGGCACUGGAGAACAAGGGCCCAGGGCCCCUAAUUGGGGCGCAGCAGGCGCGAAACCUCUGCAAUAGGCGAAAGCUUGACAGGGUUACUCUGCAGUGAUUUCCGUUAAGGAGAUCUUUUGGCACCUCUAAAAAUGGUGCAGACAUAAGGGGUGGGCAA
rnacentral:rRNA from 1 species